UGUUAGAGAGUUAAGUUUACGCUCUUGAAGAGGUAACAUCAACGACGAAGUCAGAUCAAGAUAGAAAUAUUAAGUGUGAUAUAUAAUCUAUAUAUAUAUAACCAAUCAAAGUUUAUAUAACUAUAAUAAAUAAAGUUUUGGAGCAACUAUUGUGUAUGCAUUGGUAAUCCUAACUGGCAAAAAGUAACCUGUAUGGCACGAGGUAAC